UGGCAUCUUUGAAUCUCACUCAACAGACUCGUCUGUGACGUUGAAGGAUCUUCGUCGAGUCAAUGCGGAUAUUGAAGCAACCAAGGGGAACUCUCCAACCAAAAAGCUAUGGAUCUUGCCUCCGCCGCCAAAUCCCUUCUGAAUUAGGCCAAGAAAUAAAACUGGUCAAGAAUUGUGUCAAGAGGGCCCACGACCCUUAGUUUUAUUUCUUCCGUUCAGUGGAGCUGAUUUGGCGAAGAGGUUGAAAUAUGCCAAUGUAAAGUAUUGUCUAAAAAGACCAAAAACACCUCAAAUGUUUCCUUUAUUUCCAUGAGUUAGUCCCUCUGCAAAAUAAUGGCCGCCAUUAGAAGAGGUGAAAAUGUCACCCCCAUCGCCUCCAAUUUCAUCCAAGGCCGGUCUCCUCUGCGCUGCCCCUACUCACCGUCGUCCUCAGUUCUGUUCGACUUAUCUCCUCUCCCUCUUCUAUUUGGUCUCUCUCUCAUCUCCUGCAUCAUCGCUCGCCGCAACUGGUCUCGCCUCCGCUCCGUCGUCAGUCUCCCACUCCCUUCCAUCUCGAUCUCACUCUCCGCAAAUUGGAUGAAACUUGUUGCUGCUUCAAUCUGCACUGAAGACUGAACUUUCUGGUCUUUGAUUUUGGGGAAAUGAAAAUGAUGCGGGUGUGCCACAUAGCCAGUGGAAGAAGAAGAGUUGGGACGUUGUUUAACUUUUUUUUUUCGAUCGGUUCUUUUUUUAUUGACUAUAUUUGGUAACCAUUCAAAGGCUGAAUGAA